rnacentral:rRNA from 1 species
AUUGAACGCUGGCGGCAGGCCUAACACAUGCAAGUCGAGCGAGCGGAGGACGGGUGGGCAAUGUCUGUGCAACUGCCUGAUGGAGGGGGAUAACUACUGGACACGGUAGCUAAUACCGCAUACAAUAAGAUGUGCCGGGUUGGGAUUAGCUAGUAGGUGGGGGAAUGGAUGACCUAGGCGACGAUCCCCAGCUGGUCUGAGAGGAUGACCAGCCACACUGGAACUGAGACACGGUCCAGACUCCUACGGGAGGCAGCAGUGGGGAAUAGUGGACAAUGGGCGAAAGCCUGAUGCAGCCAGGCCGCGUGUGUGAAGAAGGCCUUCGGAUUGUAAAGCACUUUCAGCGAGGAGGCGUUACUCGCAGAAGAAGCACCGGCUAACUCCGUGCCAGCAGCCGCGGUAAUUC